rnacentral:lncRNA from 1 species
CUUGUCCUCAAGUGGUCCGCGCACCUCGGCCUCCCAAAGUGCUGCGAUUACAGGGGCAUGAGGAGCUCGACCGUCUGGCCAGGGAGAAGGAUGCAGUGCUGGUGGCGGUGAAGGGAGCCCACGUGGAGCAGCUGCAGGAGCUGCAGACCAGGGUUCUGGAGCUGCAGGCCCACUGCGAGACCCUCGAGGCGCAGCUCCGCAGGGCAGAGUGGAGACAGGCUGACACCGCCAAGGAGAAGGACGCUGCCAU